rnacentral:rRNA from 1 species
UACGAAGGGGGCUAGCGUUGCUCGGAAUCACUGGGCGUAAAGCGCACGUAGGCGGAUCUUUAAGUCAGGGGUGAAAUCCUGGAGCUCAACUCCAGAACUGCCUUUGAUACUGGGAGCUCGAGUCCGGAAGAGGUGAGUGGAACUCCGAGUGUAGAGGUGAAAUUCGUAGAUAUUCGGAAGAACACCAGUGGCGAAGGCGGCUCACUGGUCCGGUACUGACGCUGAGGUGCGAAAGCGUGGGGAGCAAACAGGG